rnacentral:rRNA from 1 species
CUACUAGGGUAUCUAAUCCUGUUUGAUCCCCACGCUUUCGCGCCUCAGUGUCAGUAUUGAUCCAGGUAGUCGUCUUCACCACUGGCGUUCCUUCCGAUAUCUACGCAUUUCACCGCUACACCGGAAAUUCCACUACCCUCUACCAUACUCUAGUUAAGCAGUUUAAGAUGCACUUCCCAGGUUAAGCCCAGGGCUUUCACAUCUUACUUGCUUUACCACCUACGCGCCCUUUACGCCCAGUAAAUCCGAUUAACGCUUGCACCCCCUGUAUUACCGCGGCGGCUGGCAC